CCCUUCGCCAUCUUGGAGCGCAUCGGGCAGGUGGCCUAUCGCCUUCAGCUUCCGGCCAGCGCUCGCAUCCACGAUGUGUUUCAUGUGGGGCUGCUCAAGCCUUUUUGUGGAGAGCCACCGGCGGCUCCACCCGCGCUUCCUCCGACCGCCAACGGACGUCUUCUUCCGGAGCCAGAGAAGGUGUUGAAGGCGCAACUUCGUCGCGGGGUGUGGUUCGUCUUGAUCCAGUGGGCGGGUCUUCCGGUGGAGGAGGCUACUUGGGAGCCACGUGAUGAUUUCCGCCACCACUAUCCAGACUUUCAGCUCGAGGACGAGCUGUUUGUGCAGGCGGGGAGAGAUGUU
rnacentral:rRNA from 1 species